rnacentral:lncRNA from 1 species
UCCCCCUAGUCGGCAGCAAGCCGGUGGUGGUCUCCUCGGCUCCUUCCCAUCCGGGCCGUGCAACGAGGUGAUUCUUUUUCCUGGUAAAUAGAUGCUGAUUUUUAUUUGCUAGUAAAUUUGUGCUACAUCCCAAGUUUACUAUCAAGUUGAUCUAUGUUGCAUCUCUCGUUCUAUUUUUUGUUCAUGUCAAAUCUUCUUAGUGAAUGAUGCAUAAUAACUUCGAUUUGAUGAUGUAUUGCUACUGUGCUAGGUGUUUUGGUACUCUAAUUUGGAAGUUUUAUUUCGGUCAUACGUAAUUUGGAGAAUCAAGUUGGAAGAUUCAGUCCGGUCAGAUAACUUUGGCAUCUUGUAGUAUAGAACAAUUCACUAAAAAGUUUAAUACUUGCAGUUCCGUAUACAGAGUCAAUAGCUCGAAAAGAUGGAAAGAAAGUAAAUUGAUUCUGCUAGGCAAUAAAUAAAAUGAAAUUUGUGCAUUUAUCAGCAUAUCAAAAUCCUGAUUCAUUGCUGAAUUUGCUCCAGUUUAACAGAGAAUAAUAAGAAGUUUCCCAGUGUAUAUGACUUAUGAUUCCCAAAGAAGGUGGCAUCGAGGGUCGGCAAAUUGUGCAUCGAAUACUAAGAGUCAACAAUUGGAAGUGUCCUAGUAUAUAUGCUGAUACACAGACUGUUGCGAUAGGUGGUGGCUCUCUGCUCCUUCAAAACCGACCUGUGUGACAUGGUGCAAACCUAAAAGGCGUCACCAUGGUGGUUAAUUUCCCUGGUAAAUAGAUGUUAUUUGAUUUAGCUAGUACAUUUGUGCUUGAUCUCAAAUUUUAUUAGCUAGUUGAUUUAUGCCGCAUCUCUAUAGUUCUAUUUUCUUGUACUUGUUCAUGUCAAACCUGCUCAUGUGGGAAUGAAGCAUAUUGGUAACUUCAUUUGAUUAUGUAUUGCUACUGUUUAUGGUGGUUUAAAAUUCUAUUUUGGUUUUCU